GCAGACUGCCAAGUAAGCCGUGUGUGUUCAGCAUACAGUGUCUCUCUGGUAGACCUGGAAGUCGGUUGUUGUAAUCCAGCCCAAAGUGGUGUACUCCAUCAGCUAAUACUACACGAGCCGAUAGCGAACAAGUACGUGAGAAGUGAAAGUACUUGAAAGAGAGAGUAAACAGUGCGUGAACCCGCUCAGAGGUAAACGGGUGAGUUGAACUGCGAGCCCAGAGAAUUCAAGCUGGUGAGUGUGGUCUGAGCUUGGUCAGAUUGGUUGUACACUGGAGUCUGUAAAGUAGCAGGUCUUCACCUCGGUGAAGAUGCGCGAGGCACCUAUCAAUGUGUUGCGCGCUUCAGAUGUAUUCGGACCUACUUGCUGGUGCAUUUUCUCUGGGUGUUCACCACGACCGGCACUGCUGUCUGGCUGUUGUGGUUAAACCGGUCUUGCUUAGUCCUUGUGGCUUUGCUUGGUCGGGACGGCAGGUAACCUGUUGGCUCGUCUUUGACUUGCCUUCGGGUGUAAUCAGCUGACCAUGAUGGUUCUGUGCAGUGUGUCGGAGACGGCGGCUUGUGGUGUGAGCGUGCGUGCCUUGUCUGCUGACCUGGUUAGGUCUGGUCGCUCUGUUGCUUGGUUUGCAAGCCUAGCGAUGGCCUGACUUUGUUUUGGCGGACGGUUGCGUGUGUGACACUAUACCAGGGCCA
rnacentral:rRNA from 1 species